UAGGUUGAGGAGGCGGUGACUGUGGCGGUGGAGGAGGUAGCCAACACUGGUUUUUAUAUAUACAUAUAUAUAUAUAUAUAUAUAUUUUAAUUGGGGUAGCCCCCAAAAUAUUGGGACAUAUAAAAAAAGACAACUCUGUUCCGCAGAGUAGCUGUUGACAUUAUAGUUGCGCAGGCACUUUAUUGACUCUAGAGAACCUAGGGCCAAUCGCACAUCCCUGUGGCGGCGACUUUGCAUGCGGAAGUCAUCCAUAUCAACUUUCGAUGCCAGUUUCUGCGCCUACCAUGGUGACCACGGAUAAUGGGGAAUCAGGGUUCCAUUCCGUACAGGGACUCUGAAAAAUGGCUACCAUGUGCAAGGAAGGUAGCAGGCACGCAAAUGACCCACUCCCGAUGCGGGAAGGUAGUAACGACAAAUAACAAUACAGGACUCUUUAGAGGCCCUGUAAUUGUAAUGAGUCAAUUUGAAAUCCUUUAACUCUGAUCAGUUGGAGGGAAGUCUGGUGCAGAGCCACUGACCCGUGCGUGCUGCAGCUGAAACUCCACU